GUUUACCCGUUUGUGAAUGAUGUUCAGCACCAAGUACAGGUAUUUUUUACGUAAGAGUGGAUGGUGUUCAGCACCAGGGACAGGUAUGUUUACCU
rnacentral:pre_miRNA from 1 species